CAGGAGGGAUCAUUAUGAAUGGAAUGGAAAACUUAUUUAGUUGAGAAUAUGUCUUAAGCCUGUCUCUUGCUUGAUCAGAGUAUGGAAUGUGUGUGAAAUAUUUCAUGAGAACAGAGAUCGCAAAAGAAAUUUUUCCUGCCAUAAUAUGAAGGUACCCAAUCUUCAAGUGUUGACACUGCUGGGUUGUACUAGAAUAAUUGAUGGUGAUGCCCUUGAGCAAGAAAGGAUAAAAUAAAUCACUACAGGCGAGCUGAUCAUCAAAACUUUAAGUGUUCUCAAGAAGUAUGCUUUGUCAGAGAUUGCUUCAGCUGGCCUUUCUUGUGAAACAUUGGGCUAAAUCGAGGUGUAGGAAUGAAACAUUGGCUUGGCAAGCUAACUGUACUUUGAACUUGAUUAAAUCUUUAUCAAUAAGGCAAGUUAACUGUUUGUUA